rnacentral:rRNA from 1 species
UACGGAGGGUGCAAGCGUUGUUCGGAAUUACUGGGCGUAAAGCGCGUGCAGGCGGCUAACUAAGUCCGGUGUGAAAGCCCGGGGCUCACCCCCGGAAGUGCGCUGGAAACUGGUUGGCUAGAGUACGGGAGAGGGAAGCGGAAUUCCUGGUGUAGCGGUGAAAUGCGUAGAUAUCAGGAGGAACACCGGCGGCGAAGGCGGCUUCCUGGACCGAUACUGACGCUGAGACGCGAAAGCGUGGGGAGCAAACAGC